rnacentral:misc_RNA from 1 species
UUAAAUGACAUUAAAAUUUACAAUAGACAUGACAAGACAAGAUAGGGUGCUCCGGCACCGAAUGUGGCACUUCUUGCUCGGCUAUACAAUAGACGGGUAAGGGGCGUCACAUUUAGUGGUAUCAGAGCAGAGGUUUAGGCGGUCCUAGACCUAGAUAGAUAGAGAAAAAUAGUUUGCAUCACAUGCAUGGGCCUUUAAAUAAAGUCGAGGUGACACUAACGCAGAUCUGUUUCUUUGUCUAUUUUAUAGGAUCGAUGGCAUCUGAUCCUUCAGAGCACGGACCUCCAGAACCGAUAGAGGAGGAAGUAGAGAGUCACGCACCUGCACCUGCGUUUAAUCAGGGGCGCAGUAGCAGUAGAGCAGAACCAUCGUUGGGUACUUUAGUAAGGACACAACAGGCCUUCCUAGAGCAAAUGACUCAAUUGCUCCGUCAGGUCACUGGAGCUAUGCCACCACCUCCCCAGCUAGUAUAUAGGACCCCAGUAGAGAGAGUUAGAAAUGAUGAGCAGUUUAGGAGAGACAGGCAGUGCAAUAGAGGGUCUGGAUCUGGCCAGUCCAGCGUAGCUGCUACAGAGAGCAAGAGACCCAGGGGGUCUGAGGGUCAGAUUCAGAGCAGAGAACAGAGGCAGAGGUUCCAAUUUACCCCGAGGAGAGGAGGCCAAACGGGUGUAUCAAUUGGCAAUUCUGCGGGUCCUAUAGCACGGAGAUCAACCCCGAUGCCAGUUUGUACACAUUGUGGGAAGAACCACAGAGGAAAGUGUAGAUUGCUAACGGGUGGAUGUUUCAGAUGUGGGUCCAUUGAGCAUUUUUUUGAGAGAUUGCCCACAGAGGAGUGCUCCCACAGCUCCACCACAGACUCAGAAGUCUGCCCCGACAGUAUAGAGGGGUAGAAGACCGAUGAGACCAGAGAUAGCUGGUACAUCACAGAGAGCUUCUGAGACUAUAGAACAACCCGAGGUUGAAGUAGCACCCUGUGUGUACACUAUGGCUCGAGAGGAGCCAGACCUAGUAGACGUUGUUAGAGGUACAUUCUCUAAUUAUAAUACCUUUAAGUAUGUAUUGAUAGACCCUAACUAUGUUCACCCCUAUAUAUGCAUUGUACCUCCUGUUGAAAGAGGAUACCGAUAGAUGGGUCAGAAGAUGACAUACUUGUCACCAACCCUUUAGGUCACCAGAUGAUUGUAGAUUAUCAACCGAAAAGGAUCGUGUUAAAGAUAAUAGAUGGAAAUGAGAAGGGGGCUGUAUGUGAGAUGAAAAAAGAUGAGCACAGAACUGGUUAAAAAAAAAAAAAAGAGAUAGUCUAUUGGGAUAUACCGUGGUAACUAUGCAAUGCUCUUGAUGUUUGUGCUGUAAGCUGCAGAUUACAGUACCAACAUUGGACUAUUGUGUAGAGCUACGUAUUUCCAAUAGUAAAUCGAGAUAAGGAUAAGAUUGUAGAACUAGGAUUAAUAAGACAGACUAAAAAAAAAAAAAAAGUAAAGUAUUAUAACACAAAAAGGUGAAAAGACAAGGAGAUAGCGGUCCCUCGAUUAAUUACACUGUGUAAAUUUCGAGGACGAAAUUUUAUUUAGAGGGGAAGAAUUGUAACGCCCUCACCAUAGGUAGUCCGUACAUUUUACUAUUCGGACAACCAAUGUCUUUUCGGACAUCAAAAUGUCUGAAACUGUGCUUAGACUAUAGUGAUGAGGCAUAAAUUGAUGAAACAAAUGUCAAGAA